GAGGAGGGAGGGGGUGGCGUCGAUGACCUAUGAGAGAGGAAAAAAGAUGGUGUUAGGGAUGGGGAAGGCAGAGGCAGGGGCAUGGAAAAAAAUGAGUCACCAACACCUGCGAAGUCUGUGAGCGCAGCCUCCUUGAUUCCUUCCGCUUCUGCUCUCCCGGUUGCAAGAUUGUUGGCACAUCGAAGAAUUUCGAGAGGAAAAGAAAGUACUCGCUGGAGAAGAAGCUCUGGGCAGCGGCGUCGGACUCGAAGAAUUAAAAAAGAAAAAAUCCUCUGUUUUGUUGGUGGUCUAUCACUUUGUUGUUGUUAGAUGAAGGAGGUUAGAUGGAGGUGAUGGAUGUGGCGGGUAUGUGCGAAAGACAGGGUGGUGAGUUUGAUAGUCUGGGUGCCAGACUAUACUGGGUUUGGUAUGGUAGAAGCGGAUGGUGCUGAUGUUGGGAUUGGGUAUGGAUGAUUUUGGUGGUGGAGGUGGCAAUGGUGUGUUGCAAAGAGUCCUAGAGGAAGAAGAUGGUGAAAUAAGGAAUGGUAGUGAAAUGCCUAUAUUGCCCUUGAAA